AUUGAACGAUGGCGGCAGGCCUAACACAUGCAAGUCGAGCGGAGCGGCGGACGGGUGAGUAAUGCAUAGGAAUCUGCCUGGUCGUGGGGGAUAAAGUACGGAAACGAGCGCUAGUACCGAAUCCUCUCAGAUGAAUCUAGGCCGGAUUGGCUAGUUGGUGGGGUAAGGGACUACCAAGGCGACGGUCCGUAACUGGUCUGAGAGGAUGAUCAGUCACACUGGAACUGAGACACGGUCCAGACUCCUACGGGAGGCAGCAGUGGGGAAUAUUGGACAAUGGGCGAAAGCCUGAUCCAGCCAUGCCGCGUGUGUGAAGAAGGUCUUCGGAUUGUAAAGUACUUUAAGUUGGGAGGCGUUACCAACAGAAUAAGCACCGGCUAACUCCGUGCCAGCAGCCGCGGUAAUUC
rnacentral:rRNA from 1 species